rnacentral:rRNA from 1 species
GCGAUGAUCCAUAGCUGUUCUGAGAGGAAGAUCAGCCACACUGGGACUGAGACACGGCCCAGACUCUUACGGGAGGCAGCAGUGGGGAAUAUUGGACAAUGGGGGCAACCCUGAUCCAGCAAUACCAUGUGUGUGAAGAAGGCCUUAGGGUUGUAAAGCACUUUAGUUUGUGAGGAAGGUUAUUGGGUUAAGAGCUAGAUAAUUUGACGUUAGCAAAAGAAUAAGCACCGGCUAACUCCGUGCCAGCAGCCGCGGUAAUACGGAGGGUGCGAGCGUUAAUCGGAAUUACUGGGCGUAAAGGGUUCGUAGGUGGUGAGAUAAGUCAGAUGUGAAAGCCCUGGGCUUAACCUGGGAGUUGCAUAUGAAACUGUUUGACUAGAGUUUGGUAGAGGAUUGGGGAAUUUCCAGUGUAGCGGUGAAAUGCGUAGAGAUUGGGAAGAACAUCGAUGGCGAAGGCAACAAUCUGGACCUGAACUGACACUGAGGGACGAAAGCGUGGGUAGCAAACAGGAUUAGAUACCCUGGUAGUCCACGCUGUAAACGAUGAGUACUAGCUGUUGGUCCUGGUGUAAAAGGAUUAGUGGCGCAGCUAACGCGCUAAGUACUCCGCCUGGGGACUACGGCCGCAAGGUUAAAACUCAAAGGAAUUGACGGGGACCCGCACAAGCGGUGGAGCAUGUGGUUUAAUUCGAUGCAACGCGAAGAACCUUACCUACCCUUGACAUCCUAAGAAGACGAAAGAGAUUUUGUUGUGCCUUCGGGAACUUAGAGACAGGUGCUGCAUGGCUGUCGUCAGCUCGUGUUGUGAGAUGUUGGGUUAAGUCCCGCAACGAGCGCAACCCUUAUGUUUAGUUGCCAUCAUUAAGUUGGGCACUCUAAAGAGACUGCCGCUGAUAAGGCGGAGGAAGGUGGGGACGACGUCAAGUCAUCAUGGCCCUUACGGGUAGGGCUACACACGUGCUACAAUGGGCAUUACAGAGGGCAGCGAAGGGGUGACCUGGAGCGAAACCCAGAAAGGUGUUCGUAGUCCGGAUUGAUCUCUGCAACUCGAGAUCAUGAAGUCGGAAUCGCUAGUAAUCGCGAAUCAGAAUGUCGCGGUGAAUACGUUCCCGGGUCUUGUACACACCGCCCGUCACACCAUGGGAGUGGGUUGCAAAAGAAGUGGCUAGUCUAACCUUCGGGAGGACGGUCACCACUUUGUGAUUCAUGACUGGGGUGAAGUCGUAACAAGGUAGCCGUAGGGGAACCUGCGGCUG